rnacentral:rRNA from 1 species
CGCAACCCUGUCCUUAGUUACCAGCACGUUAUGGUGGGCACUCUAAGGAGGACUGCCCGGUGGACAAACCGGAGGAAGGUGGGGAUGACGUCAAGUCAUCAUGGCCCUUACGGCCUGGGCUACACACGUGCUACAAUGGUCGGUACAAAGGGUUGCCAAGCCGCGAGGUGGAGCUAAUCCCAUAAAACCGAUCGUAGUCCGGAUCGCAGUCUGCAACUCGACUGCGUGAAGUCGGAAUCGCUAGUAAUCGUGAAUCAGAAUGUCACGGUGAAUACGUUCCCGGGCCUU